GUGAGAGAGCUGCAGACUUCAUCUUGUAAAGUAACAGCAUUCAUCUGCUGAUUUAGUGUAUGCUGCCAGCUGCAGUCUGACCCUGUGAGAGAGCUGCAGACUUAAUCUUGUAAAGUAACAGCAUUCCUCUGCUGAUUUAGUGUAUGCUGCCAGCUGAAGUCUGACCCUGUGAGAGAGCUGUGGAGAAGAAUGCAGGCAAAGUAAAUGACUGGCAGACCUUGGAGUUUUCUUUCAGCCUGUGCAGAUGAAUCCUGUUUAGUGAAGCAGCUAUGCAAUACUGUGAAGUAUCUGAAGACAUCUGGCUAACCAAUGCAACUAAGGAUACCAAGAGAAUGAACCAAAUAUGAUUAUCAAAGGCCCAGAAUGUCAUCUCCAUACAUUCCAGGAUGUGUGCUGAUUUGGUUGACCAUCAUCCCUUGUUUGCUACCCCCUGCAGGGCUGUGAGCUUCAAAAGCUGUGUUAAUCAGGAAAAAAGUAUCUCCUAUCUGAUUUCAUACACUGAGCAUAUAGCCAAAUAUAGAUUGACCAUCUCUUAUUGAAGUUUUUGCCUUUGAAAUGGUUCAAUGGUCCUAUUGCAAUUUAACCUAUAAACCUCUGCUCUUUCUAAAAAUCACUUUUACAACAUUCCUUUUUAAGUGACUUUGUGACCAAUCCUGCGUGAUCACAG